UGGGUAAUCUUGUGAAACUUCAUCGUGAUGGGGAUAGAGCAUUGCAAUUAUUGCUCUUCAACGAGGAAUCCCUAGUAAGCGUGAGUCAUCAGCUCAUGCUGAUUACGUCCCUGCCCUUUGUACACACCGCCCGUCGCUACUACCGAUUGAAUGGCUUAGUGAGACCCUCGGAUCGAUGAAUGGAAACCUUUACGGGUAUCUACUUGUUGAAAAGUUGGUCAAACUUGGUCAUUUAGAGGAAGUAAAAGUCGUAACAAGGUUUCCGUAGGUGAACCUGCGGAAGGAUCAUU
rnacentral:rRNA from 1 species